GGUUAACGCUGGCGGUGCGCAUAACACAUGCAAGUCGAGCGAGGGCUUACUUCCCGCAAGGGAGGUGAGUUCCUAGCGGCGAACGGGUGAGUAACACGUGGGCAACCUUUCCUAUCGCGGGGGAUAACAGCGGGAAACCGCUGCUAAUACCGCAUGUCGUCACCGGUCGCAUGGCCGGUGAAGAAAGCAGCAAUGCACGAUGGGGUGGGCCCGCGGCCUAUCAGCUAGUCGGUGGGGUAACGGCCUACCGAGGCGAUGACGGGUAGCUGGUCUGAGA
rnacentral:rRNA from 1 species